rnacentral:lncRNA from 1 species
CAAAUGUAUAGCUGGUGAUAAGACAAGAUGGCAAUAGCACAGGACUGCCCUGGUGGAGACUCUGUGACAACCACCUGGAUAGUUUGAGAACUGCUGCUUUUGCUGCUUGAAGUCCAGACUAAGGAAGGAUGCAAGCCCCCAAAGAACUAGAUGAGAGUCUAUGAAUCAAAAACAUGGAGCUGGGAGGAAUCUCACAUGUUGGUGGCACUGAGAGCCAUUCACUGAGGAGUUCCAUGCUCACCCUGGCAGUUUGUGAAUGCCCUGAUGACGCAGAAAUGCUGAGUAAGCUUCAUGCUCAUGGUUCCCGGGGAGUAAGCAGCCUUAUAGCCAGCCCCCAGCUCUUCCUCUCCCAAUGGGAUGGUACCAACUUGUUGUGAAGGGCUGUAUGGAUUUAUGGAUCUACAAAUGAAUUAAUGAACAGGCAUUUAUUGAAAGCCUACAAUACAAUUAUCCUCAACAAUAAAAAUAUCCUACAACUGUGAUAGGAACUAGAA